GCCACCAGUAGAACUUGAACCACGAGCCGUACGCGUUUCUCCGGGGUGGGCGUGGCUGGCUGGGGGAACUGCUUGUUGAGCUGCUCGUUGAAGAUGGCGGAGGCCUGGAACGACUCGGACAUCGACAGCUGGCUCGCCAUGGUCGCUCGCCUUCUCCUGGCUGGUCGGCUGCAGACAAGAGAGGUAUGCCUGUGUCACAAGAUUGCCUGUCAGCUUUGUUUUUAUAAUGGUGAGUAAUGGCUGCAAUACUUCGAGAUCCCCACAUUCGACAGAUUAUUUCUGUCUCUGUCUCAACAAGGUCUCUAUCAAAAGCAAAGACCUGUGCCAGAAAAAGAAUCAGUGCUAUGAGCCUUAUUGAACAACAUAGCAUUUUUGACACCUCUGGUUUCUUUGCUCUUUGAUAGAUAGCUGAAAGAGGUGUUCAAUGGGAUUAGAGAGAGGUAUUCAAUUAACUGAUUCAGAAUCGAUUCUUGACGGUCGGUUUAGAAUACGCUCAAAAUGUUCGACACUAUGUUAUAGUGUUGCAUUCAUAUCUUUUGAUGCGCUAAGAACCAUCUUAGUCAAGAAGGGAAGAAGUACCCAAACGUGGCUGACCAUAAGCACAGCAUGGGCUCUCAAGAAUGUAUAAGUAUUGUUUGUAGCCACCAACUGCUUAGUCUCUCUGGGUCUGUCUUCAUACUAGUCAGUUCUAUAAUUUGCCUCUUUGUAUUCUGAAUGUUUAGUUCUUUGCAAUACCUUGAUGUUUUUCGUUUAGAAUGGGAUUUUGGAUUACUAGCUGAGAACUGCACUACCUUUUGCUUUUCUGCAAUGAGACUCCGAAUCAAAUUAUUUUCAACAAGCCAGUCCUGGUGAAGAUGUCUAGGAGAGCAGGUCGUGAUGCUAUUUUGUAAACUUCCCAGAUUCUUUUAAUGCCAUAGAGGGUGAAUGAGAUGUUGUUCAGUUUGGCUCUUUGGUCUUUUUCAAGUGAUGUUUAAACAGUUUCUUUAUUUUUUGACAGUUUGUUCAUGUCAAGUCUUUUGAUUUCCCUUAAGGACACUUUUUUCGAUACAAUAUCAGUUUGACAUCGCUCACAAUCAGUCUGUGGUCAUUUCCACCGCCAUUCUGCACCGCACAUGGCGCAAGUGACUCUGAUAUCACUCAUGUCUUUACGUUUCACAAUAAUAUAAUCAUUGAGAUACCAGUGCUUUGAGCUGGGACGCACCCGUGAAGAUUUAUAUAUCUUACUGGCAGGUAAAAUGUGAGUCGGUGGUAAAUAGACCAUGUCCUGCACGUUUCUGGAAAACACAUGAAGACCAUUGCUGUUACAUGAGCCCCUGCCAUGUUUACCGAUGACA